GAUGGACGCUGGCGGCGUGCUUAACACAUGCAAGUCGAACGGAAAGGCUCCUGCUUGCAGGGGUACUCGAGUGGCGAACGGGUGAGUAACACGUGGGUGAUCUGCCCAGCACUUCGGGAUAAGCCUGGGAAACUGGGUCUAAUACCGGAUAGGACGAUGGUUUGGAUGCCAUUGUGGAAAGUUUUUUCGGUGUGGGAUGAGCUCGCGGCCUAUCAGCUUGUUGGUGGGGUAAUGGCCUACCAAGGCGUCGACGGGUAGCCGGCCUGAGAGGGUGCACGGCCACAUUGGGACUGAGAUACGGCCCAGACUCCUACGGGAGGCAGCAGUGGGGAAUAUUGCACAAUGGGCGCAAGCCUGAUGCAGCGACGCCGCGUGGGGGAUGACGGCCUUCGGGUUGUAAACUCCUUUCGCUAGGGACGAAGCGCAAGUGACGGUACCUGGAGAAGAAGCACCGGCUAACUACGUG
rnacentral:rRNA from 1 species